rnacentral:lncRNA from 1 species
GGCAGGCGCUGGACUAUGCCCUCGUGAUCCAAUUUGAUUUGUAACCCAUCUAUGAGGUCGGUGCUAUUGACAUUUCCUUUAUAUAGAUCAGAAAACCGAAACCGAAAUAUGAGGAAUGGGCCUGAUUAAUAAGCUAUCCCACCAAUAAGCUGGAGGGAAGGUCUACAACUCGGCACUCAUUUUGGUUACUCUGGGAAGAAUGCAAGUUGGCUCUCAUUCUGUAUGCACGGCACUCAUUUACAGUGUAUGUUACACUCAUUCGUUCAGUCUACACUGAGCAUAGGGACUUCACUAGAAGCUGGAUGAGUGAGAAGGGUGAGAAGCAAUCCAUGCAUGCUUGGAACUGACAUCCCAGCAGAAGGGAUGGGUAAAGAAACCACCCAUUACGACAAACGUGGUAUGAGGAGGGCUUUGGCAGAUGGAAACCCUGGUCCGUGUGGAAAACCUACCCGUUUUCUGAUCUUGGAGUUGGCCCCCAUCUCCUCUCCCACAAAGCUGCUCCUCUGCCAAGGUUUCAGCACUUUCUCAUGGCCCUGGGGACCUCACGGUGGUGCCACUCAUCCUGACCAAGGACCUGCGCCUGCAGCAUGA